rnacentral:tRNA from 1 species
GGCGCGGUGGACGAAUGGGAGAGUCGCCUGCCUUUCAAGCAGGACAUGUUGCGGGUUCGAAUCCCGUCCGCGCUG